rnacentral:rRNA from 1 species
GACGAACGCUGGCGGCGUGCUUAACACAUGCAAGUCGAACGGAAAGGCCCUGCUUUUGUGGGGUGCUCGAGUGGCGAACGGGUGAGUAACACGUGAGUAACCUGCCCUUGACUUUGGGAUAACUUCAGGAAACUGGGGCUAAUACCGGAUAGGAGCUCCUGCUGCAUGGUGGGGGUUGGAAAGUUUCGGCGGUUGGGGAUGGACUCGCGGCUUAUCAGCUUGUUGGUGGGGUAGUGGCUUACCAAGGCUUUGACGGGUAGCCGGCCUGAGAGGGUGACCGGCCACAUUGGGACUGAGAUACGGCCCAGACUCCUACGGGAGGCAGCAGUGGGGAAUAUUGCACAAUGGGCGGAAGCCUGAUGCAGCAACGCCGCGCGCGGGAUGACGGCCUUCGGGUUGUAAACCGCUUUCGCCUGUGACGAAGCGUGAGUGACGGUAAUGGGUAAAGAAGCACCGGCUAACUACGUGCCAGCAGCCGCGGUGAUACGUAGGGUGCGAGCGUUGUCCGGAUUUAUUGGGCGUAAAGGGCUCGUAGGUGGUUGAUCGCGUCGGAAGUGUAAUCUUGGGGCUUAACCCUGAGCGUGCUUUCGAUACGGGUUGACUUGAGGAAGGUAGGGGAGAAUGGAAUUCCUGGUGGAGCGGUGGAAUGCGCAGAUAUCAGGAGGAACACCAGUGGCGAAGGCGGUUCUCUGGGCCUUUCCUGACGCUGAGGAGCGAAAGCGUGGGGAGCGAACAGGCUUAGAUACCCUGGUAGUCCACGCUGUAAACGGUGGGUACUAGGUGUGGGGUCCAUUCCACGGGUUCCGUGCCGUAGCUAACGCUUUAAGUACCCUGCCUGGGGAGUACGGCCGCAAGGCUAAAACUCAAAGGAAUUGACGGGGCCCCGCACAAGCGGCGGAGCAUGCGGAUUAAUUCGAUGCAACGCGUAGAACCUUACCUGGGUUUGACAUGGAUCGGGAGCGCUCAGAGAUGGGUGUGCCUCUUUUGGGGUCGGUUCACAGGUGGUGCAUGGCUGUCGUCAGCUCGUGUCGUGAGAUGUUGGGUUAAGUCCCGCAACGAGCGCAACCCUUGUUCACUGUUGCCAGCACGUUAUGGUGGGGACUCAGUGGAGACCGCCGGGGUCAACUCGGAGGAAGGUGGGGAUGACGUCAAGUCAUCAUGCCCCUUAUGUCCAGGGCUUCACGCAUGCUACAAUGGCUGGUACAGAGAGUGGCGAGCCUGUGAGGGUGAGCGAAUCUCGGAAAGCCGGUCUCAGUUCGGAUUGGGGUCUGCAACUCGACCUCAUGAAGUCGGAGUCGCUAGUAAUCGCAGAUCAGCAACGCUGCGGUGAAUACGUUCCCGGG